AGAGUUUGAUCAUGGCUCAGAUUGAACGCUGGCCGCAUGCUUAACACAUGCAAGUCGAACAGCAGCAUGUUUCAACUUCGGUUGGAAUGAUGGCGAGUGGCGGACGGGUGAGUAACGCGUAGGAAUCUACCUAAGAGUGGGGGAUAACUCGGGGAAACUCGAGCUAAUUCC
rnacentral:rRNA from 1 species